rnacentral:rRNA from 1 species
GUCGACGAUGAACCGCUUCGGUGGUGGAUUAGUGGCGAACGGGUGAGUAACACGUGGGCAAUCUGCCCUUCACUCUGGGACAAGCCCUGGAAACGGGGUCUAAUACCGGAUAACACUCCUGCCUGCAUGGGUGGGGGUUGAAAGCUCCGGCGGUGAAGGAUGAGCCCGCGGCCUAUCAGCUUGUUGGUGGGGUAAUGGCCUACCAAGGCGACGACGGGUAGCCGGCCUGAGAGGGCGACCGGCCACACUGGGACUGAGACACGGCCCAGACUCCUACGGGAGGCAGCAGUGGGGAAUAUUGCACAAUGGGCGAAAGCCUGAUGCAGCGACGCCGCGUGAGGGAUGACGGCCUUCGGGUUGUAAACCUCUUUCAGCAGGGAAGAAGCGCAAGUGACGGUACCUGCAGAAGAAGCGCCGGCUAACUACGUGCCAGCAGCCGCGGUAAUACGUAGGGCGCAAGCGUUGUCCGGAAUUAUUGGGCGUAAAGAGCUCGUAGGCGGCUUGUCACGUCGGAUGUGAAAGCCCGGGGCUUAACCCCGGGUCUGCAUUCGAUACGGGCUAGCUAGAGUGUGGUAGGGGGAGAUCGGAAUUCCUGGUGUAGCGGUGAAAUGCGCAGAUAUCAGGAGGAACACCGGUGGCGAAGGCGGAUCUCUGGGCCAUUACUGACGCUGAGGAGCGAAAGCGU